rnacentral:rRNA from 1 species
CUGCCCUGUACCGGGGGACAACAGCCAGAAAUGGCUGCUAAUACCGCAUAAUCCUGCGCUGUCGCAUGGCAGCGCAGGGAAAACUCCGGUGGUACAGGAUGGUCCCGCGUCUGAUUAGCUUGUUGGCGGGGUAACGGCCCACCAAGGCGACGAUCAGUAGCCGGCUUGAGAGAGCGGACGGCCACAUUGGGACUGAGACACGGCCCAGACUCCUGCGGGAGGCAGCAGUGGGGAAUAUUGCACAAUGGGGGAAACCCUGAUGCAGCAAUGCCGCGUGGGUGAAGAAGUACUUCGGUAUGUAAAGCCCUAUCAGCAGGGAAGAAAAUGACGGUACCUGACUAAGAAGCCCCGGCUAACUACGUGCCAGCAGCCGCGGUAAUACGUAGGGGGCGAGCGUUAUCCGGAUUUACUGGGUGUAAAGGGAGCGCAGGCGGCGUGGCAAGUCAGAUGUGAAGACCCGGGGCCCAACCCCGGGACUGCAUUUGAAACUGCCAUGCUGGAGUGCCGGAGAGGUAAGUGGAAUUCCUAGUGUAGCGGUGAAAUGCGUAGAUAUUAGGAGGAACACCAGUGGCGAAGGCGGCUUACUGGACGGUAACUGACGCUGAGGCUCGAAAGCGUGGGGAGCAAACAGGAUUAGAUACCCUGGUAGUCCACGCCGUAAAC